CCUACGGGGGGCAGCAGUGAGGAAUAUUGGUCAAUGGACGAGAGUCUGAACCAGCCAAGUAGCGUGAAGGAUGACUGCCCUAUGGGUUGUAAACUUCUUUUAUAUGGGAAUAAAACGUUCCACGUGUGGGAUUUUGUAUGUACCAUAUGAAUAAGGAUCGGCUAACUCCGUGCCAGCAGCCGCGGUAAUACGGAGGAUCCGAGCGUUAUCCGGAUUUAUUGGGUUUAAAGGGAGCGUAGGUGGAUUGUUAAGUCAGUUGUGAAAGUUUGCGGCUCAACCGUAAAAUUGCAGUUGAUACUGGCAGUCUUGAGUACAGUAGAGGUGGGCGGAAUUCGUGGUGUAGCGGUGAAAUGCUUAGAUAUCACGAAGAACUCCGAUUGCGAAGGCAGUUCACUGGACUGCAACUGACACUGAGGCUCGAAAGUGUGGGUAUCAAACAGGAUUAGAUACCCUUGUAGUC
rnacentral:rRNA from 1 species